UCUAAGCACACGUGCUUGUCAGCGGGAGGUUUAUUCAGGGAGUCCUUUGAGAAUCUGUCCUUGUCCAGAGUGACUGGUUGGUGUGUCUUAUCCUCAAUCUGCAGGCACCCGAGGUGGGAGUCGGGCCAACGGCCUCUUGUGUUUUCAUGAGCUGAUAUUUUUAAAAAUUGAAGGAUGCUGCUUUUCUUUCUCGACUAUGGAACCAGCACCGGAAUAUCCCAAUGACGAGGAUCACAUUUGGGAACAUGUGACACACAUGGAUGCUGGCCCAGAUGAGAAUACACGGGAGGCUGGAAUUAGCAACCUCAAGGCAGGGCCCCGGUCACAGAUCCAGCUCAAAACCCAAACCGGGUUUUCCCAGAGGCAGAGAAUAACAGGAUUGAAACAGACAACCCCUCUUACCGGAUCUCUGUUUCCUAUCUUUGACUCAAACCCAGCCUGACUCCUGGAAUAACAUUCAGGUGUCCUCCCGUUGGUUCAGAAUAGAAGUGCCAUGUCCCCUGAAGAUAAAAUUGGAAGCUUAAGAAACUGAGAGGAAAAGAAAAACGGGCGGCCAGGUUCCCAUCACCCACGUGGGCUGGACCUCAGGUGUCUCUUGGGAUCUUGCUACUCAAAGUGUGGCCUGAGGACUGGCAGGAUCCCAGGGAGCUAGUGAGAGAUGCAGACUCUCAGUGCCCUCUGCCAGACCUCCCCAGUCAGAAUCUGCCCAUUAACCUAUUAACUGCCCCCCCUACUCCCCACCAUGACUCCCAUUCACAGCAGCAUUGAGCCCCAGUCACUGCCUGGGGGCUCAGCAGGACACUGCCGGGGUCAGCCUGGCCUGGUCCGGGUAACAGGGCUGGCAUUUAUCUUUGACUUCCCCAAAGCAGGCAGAGCUGCUUUCAUGGGUGGGCAAGUUGUGCCAUCAUCUCCAGGGCCCUGUGCUCGGAAAGGCCCCAUAUAUUUCAUGCUCUGCACUGCUGUCUGGAAAUUCCUAAUAUUCUGAACCAGGAGCCCAAUGUUUUCAUUGUCCUCUGAGUUACACAAAUGAGGUACUCCUACUAACCCCAUACCCUGGGAUCCUCUAGGACUGGGGCCUAGAAUCGGCCCAGCUUUGGCCACCUUCCUUCCCCAAGCCAGAUCCCCAAGUGCCGUUUCUGCCCCACACAGACACAUCCUGAGGCCGGCUGCAGCCUGGCGACGUGGGGAAUUAGGGGCACCCCCCCUGACUGGAGGGAUGUGUCCUUCUGGAGGCAAGGAAUGCCAGAACCGCACCUGAAUCCCACACUUGAGUUCUCUCUCACGUGGCUUUUAAAUGUCCUGGGUGCUGUGCAUUAUCUUUAACUUGCCUCAUCUCAUUUAAAUUCUUCCAAUAGCCA